rnacentral:rRNA from 1 species
AGAGUUUGAUCCUGGCUCAGGACGAACGCUGGCGGCGGGCCUAAUACAUGCAAGUCGAACGCAGUCGACCUUCGGGUCAUAUGACUGAGUGGCGAACGGGUGAGUAACACGUGAGAAACCUGCCCCGAAGACUGGAAUAACCCGAGGAAACUCGGGCUAAUACCGGAUGUCCCCAGAUGGCCGCAUGGCCGACUGAGGAAAUGCUCCGGCGCUUUGGGAGGGUCUCGCGGCCUAUCAGCUUGUUGGUGAGGUAACGGCUCACCAAGGCUUCGACGGGUAGCUGGUCUGAGAGGACGAUCAGCCACACUGGGACUGAGAUACGGCCCAGACUCCUACGGGAGGCAGCAGUAGGGAAUCUUGCGCAAUGGGCGAAAGCCUGACGCAGCCACGCCGCGUGAGUGAUGAAGGCCUUCGGGUCGUAAAGCUCUUUCAGCAGGGACGAAAAUGACGGUACCUGCAGAAGAAGCCCCGGCCAACUACGUGCCAGCAGCCGCGGUAACACGUAGGGGGCAAGCGUUGUCCGGGAUUUAUUGGGCGUAAAGGGCUCGUAGGCUGUUCAGUAAGUCAGGUGUGAAAACUCGAGGGCUCAACCUCGAGACGCCACUUGAUACUGCUGUGACUAGAGUUCGGUAGGAGGAGUGUGGAAUCCCUAGUGUACGGUGAAUGCGCAGAUAUUAGAGGAACACCACCAGCGAAGGCGCCACUUCUGGGGCCGAUACUGACGCUUGAGGAGCGAAAGCGU